UUUUCAUGUGAUUAGGUAUUGGUUGGGGUAGGGUAUUACGCUCAAUGGACCGUUUUUUUAAGUAACGCGUUCUGGUGUUUAUUCUUCACAGAGCUCUGUCUCUCUCUCUCGCGUUCGUGUUUCCAACUUCUUGACGAUGGAAGUUUUAAAAGAGGAUUGCAAAACAAUAUGGUAUCAAAUUCGACACGAAGAGAAGGUGAUCAACUCGAAAAGGAGGUGGUUGAUGGGAUUCCCUACAUCACCAAAGUUAAAGAAAAAGCAGUUGAAAAGGCCCAAGUUUUUAAAAAAUGUGUCUUUGCCUGAAUCCUUGCUAAGGGAGGAUGAUGUUUCCUUUGAUUCUGUAAAAACAUGUAUUGAAAGAGGCUUUGAAGUAUUUGGUGAAGAAAGAGUGCAUGAUGUAGCUCAGGAACAUUUGCAACUCUUCGACACCAAUAUGAUGCCUGCCAAUAUGGUGCUGAUUGUUUUUUCUAUGCUUGACGACUUGAACAACAAUGCACUUUGCCUUUUAGCCAAUAUAGUAACUGGAAGUACGGUCAAAUUUGAGAAAACUCGUUGGAGGAUGAAAAGGGUCAUUAAAGAAUAUCUCCGAAAGAUACUCAGAAAUAAAAGCUGUAAGGUUUAUAAUAUGGAAGUGAUAAAAAAGCUAUCUCAAGUUUUGAAGGAUCCACAUAAUUUUCAGAAGAAAUUGAGACAUAUGGAACCCUUGUCCCAAUCUUCUCGCACUGCUGCUACUAAGGUACUGGAGGGGCUUGAGGACAUGCCUUUCCAGGCAUUGAGUGCAAUGCGUAGGAAACUUAGAGGAAUUCAAGGUGGUAUCCCCCAAUUGAAGCCUCCAAAAUCCGGGUGGAGCCGAGAACGCUUGAUUGAACAAGUGAGGAAGAUAUCUAACAAAAUGCUUUCUGAACUUGGUGAAGCUGAUGAACUUCAGGGGCCGUUAGCUAAAGCCAUGGCUGUUGCAGACUUAUCAUUUAAGCUGACAACAAGGUGUCAGGAUUCCUCUAUAAUGAAGUUUUGCCAGUUCUCACCAGAAAUAGAAGCCUUGCAGAGAGAGAUUCUAAAUGCCAUAUGGAUGACUAAAAGAGUCAAGUCAUCAGAGUUGAAUGAAAUGUUACUUUUGCUGGACCCAAAGGCAGAAUCUCCAAAUCGGUCUUUGCGGACAGGUAUUAGGAAAAUGCUGAUUGAGUAUCUUUUUGAUUGUAGUGAUAUGGAUGUCAUCCCAAAGCCAUUACUAGAAACUCUUGAUAUUAUCAAUAAGAGUAGUAGAAGCACAGUGCAUAUGCAUUUUUCAAAGGAGGAAAUAGAAGAAGAGAUAGAAUGUGUAUCAAGUGUGAGCAGUCAGACUAGACAGAUUAUAUGGGACUUGUUGCCUGACCAUGAAUUUGAUCAAGAAUUUUCUGAUGCAUAUAUGGAGGAGUUAGAAGAAAGUGAUACAGAUGGUUAUGAUGAUAAUGAGCAGCAAUAUCCCAGUGAAAUGAAAAUAAACCAAUUCUAUUCAAAUGAUACAAAAGGCCAAGCUGAGGGCAUUGGGGAAUCAAGAGAGAUCGAUUGCACUAUACCUACAACUUCAGCUGUUCUAGAUGGAACUGUCCAAUUCUCACUGUUCAAUAGAAACUCAAAUAAUGGAUCAACUAGGGGAUCUGAGCCGGAGCAUCUUCCUAAAUUUAAUUCUGCAGACCUGCACGAAGUCUGUUCUUCCUCUUCCAACCAGGAGUUGAAUUGUCUGAAUGAGAUGCAGAACAUGACUGAAAACAAAUACUUGGCUAUCCAAGAAAUUUCUGAUCAGACAAGUUUGCUUGCCUAUAAACUCAUUGGUCAUUUACUGGAUGAAUUUUCACAGAUACAAGAUGUAAAUUUGGAUUGGAGUAAGAGAGCAUAUCUGAGAGGAGGAGAUUUCAUUCCAGCAGAUUCCCAAGUUUCUGAAGAAAUGCUAGUUUCCUCCGAGGACGAUAUGGAACUGAGUCUUGUUCGAGUUGUUGAAGAGCUAAUACCUUCCUUUCCAAAGAGUGGAAUUGAAAGAGUUAAGGAGUUGCUGGGGCUGCAUUAGCUUUCUUUAUUGGCAUGUUCAGGAGGUUGUGAAGUGUCUUGCUUUGCAAUGUUUGAGCUACUCAAGAUCUUGGCAUCUUGAUCAUACGAGGAAUUGCUAUAUUACCAUUCAAUAUAAAAAAAAAUCCAAUAUCAGAUGUUCCGUUGUGUUUUGAAGCAAAGGUGAUGCUAUUUUUCAGUGCAAGCUAGAGUUUUCUCAAGCAGCGAGCCUCACCAUCCAGCAUUUAUUGAUAAGUGUUUGCAGGCAUGGAUAUCACAAUGUCAAACUCAAAUCCCAUCUACUCGAACAGGGAAAAGGGUCCUGCAUGCUCUCCAUACUGGACACAACCCAUUAUGUAUGCAGAAACUCUAGCCAACAUGGUGCUUGACUUGGGUUGAUAGGCGCCAGGUUGCACUGAGCUUGCACUUGAGUGUCUUGAGUUGAUCCUCAUUUUGUUUGAUAAGAAUUGACCAACUCCCUUUAGAAAGGGUUUUUGUUUCAAGUUGGAUGGUUAAGACUAAAGAGAUGCCGUAAAGUGAAUAAUGGUCCCUUUUGCUUGAGAGAAGUAGAGGGAGUGGGAAAGAGGUGUAUGCAAUGGAUAGGCAUGUAUUCUUAUAGCAUCUAUUGUUUGUUCUGUACUCUAAAAGUUUUCAUUAGUGAUACUUCAUCUGUCAAACUUGGUCACAAGAUAAGAAAAUUGUUGUUUAUUCAAUUGUUCAACCCAAUUUUUA